CUUCACUAAUGAACAGAAGCAGCCAAAAUCCUCCUAACGCUAAGGAAGGAGAUAUUUCUCUACAUCUGAUGUCUUUCACUUCUUCUGUUCUGAGUUAUAAAUACUCUGGUGCAUGAGCUCAGAUGAAUAAUGAUCAUACUACAAAUAACUAAAGCUAAGGAUCUUUAUAUUUAAAGGCACCAACUUUGCCCAGUCACCAACUCCAAAACCCAGUAAGUAGCUCCUGUUGGCAUGUUGCACAUCGGUGCUUCAGCAAAGUGAAAGGAGCAGAGCCUCUAAAAGACAGGGCUACUGCAACAGUAGGUCUGGCACUUCAGUACAAAGCAGGAAUAAAACCAAGUUCUAUCAAACGA